GGGAACACAUAUGCUUUUUUUUUCAUUGAGUCAUUGUUCUCAUCAAUGAUAAAAGAAUGAAAGAAUUAUCUAACCUAAAGCAGCUGUAAUAGACGUCAACUAAACAAUGUGUAUGCAUAUCAUCCGGACUACACUAAUAGCAUCUGCAUCUACGCACGCAGUAUGUUACUUUAUUUUUCCUACUAUCACACACAUCUGCAUGCAUUUCAGUAUUUCCAGUUGAUUGGGAGCGCUUUAGGUAGCUGCAACUGCAAGUGUGCUCAUUUCACCUCUCAUCUGCAACUACACCAUGCUGCAGAGGUG
rnacentral:lncRNA from 1 species